rnacentral:rRNA from 1 species
GACGAACGCUGGCGGCGUGCUUAACACAUGCAAGUCGAACGAAGUGGCGAACGGGUGAGUAACGCGUAAUCAAACUGCCCUUCAGAGGGGGAAAACAGUUGGAAACGACUGCUCAUACCGCAUACUGAAGGUGGGGAUUGCGUCGGAUUGGCUAGUUGGAGGGGUAACGGCCCACCAAGGCGAUGAUUGGUAGCGGGUCUGAGAGGAUGAACGGCCCCAUGGGGACGGAGUCACGGCCCAGACUCCUACGGGAGGCAGCAGUUGGGAAUCUUCCGCAAUGGAAGAAAGUCUGACGGAGCAACGCCGCGUGAGUGAUGACGGCCUUCGGGUUGUAAAGCUCUGUUAAUCGGGACGCGGUACCGGAAUAGAAAGCCACGGCUAACUACGUGCCAGCCGCCGCGGUAAUAC